CUGUUGCUAGAUCAGAGUAGAGGGCACUUCCUGAGGGCGUGACGUCGGUGGCUUCUCACUCACUCCACAGUAGACUCCACAGAGCCCUGUCCCAGUGUUGAGAGUCACAGUCUUGGGACAGGCAAAUUUUAACUUGCUCUGCUCUCAGGACGUCCCUUUUCUUCUCAGCAGUAUAGAGGAAACAAACAAACAAAGCAAAAACAUCUAUUCAUCUGGAUUUUAUUCAUUUGUUUUAAAUACAAACAAAAGGAGAGAGGAGACAUGGUUAUUUCUGCAGCAACUAUUUCAAAUGCAACUUAUUCCAUCGCUCCAGGUGUUCCAAUGGUGUUUGUCACCGUAAGACCCACGGGGCUAGUUCCGACCAUUAUACGUAUUUCAAUGCCGCAUUCCAAAAGGGGAACACCUGCCACUUCUUCAAAGUCAGCUGAUCAUUUGGAAUGAUGGACGGCACGGCUGCCGAUGACGUUCCCCUUUCAAGUCUCUUUGUCUAAGUGAAUUAUCGUGUAUCCUUUUAAUUUUAUUGAACAAAUUACAUUUGUCAAGGUCUAUCUUUGUAAAUAAAUGAUAACUAGAGACACA
rnacentral:lncRNA from 1 species